CGGUGAGCAAAAAGAAAGCCGCCACCAAAGAUUCAUCUUUUGUUGGCGACUCACAAGCAGAUGAGGCACAUUCAGAGGGCGAGGAUCAUGAGAGCAAAAACGAUGCAGUCGAGAAAGCAAGAUUUACCCCCACGCGCAAGACCCGUAGUCGC